AGAACUAGAGCAUUCAUCCACGGACGUUUGCGUUUAUGUGGAUGUUGAUACUUACCUUGUGUUCUCAGUUUUCUCAAAUCUUUUGUUUUGGACUUGAAUUCGUUUAAGCGAGAGGCUAGUAAAAAAAUAAUUGAAACCCAUAAUUCAUCCACGGACGUUUGCAACUUUUUGUUUCCUUGUUAUGAUGUUGCAAACUACGCAAAUUGAUUGUCCUUGAAUUUGAAAUUGGGUAACCUUAAAAAUUCGUCCAAUUUCAAUAUCAUGCGUCUCUCAAUUUUAUAUACCAGUCUGUCAAAUUGGUCAUUAAGUGAUAAAAUGUAAAGUGCAGAACUUAUAUUUUGCUCACUAGGAGUCCAAAUUUAUGCCAUUGGUUAGAACAAAUUAAAAGAAAGUAAUUUAAUUAUUAAUAAUGUAUAAAUUAGAAAUCAUUUGCAAUAUCAUAUUUUAUUUAAAAUUAAUAACAAAAACAAAAAAAAAAACGAAGAGUUUUUAUCAUAAAUGGUGCUUGAAAUUGACCCCCUUAAUUAUGAUGGUUUCUGAAAUUGAAAAUCAAUCAAUAUAAUCACUGAAUAUUAGUCCCGCAAAUUAAUGUCAUCUUUCUGUCACUAUUUCAUCCAACUCCACACUAAAAAGGAACACAUGACCACUUUUUCGUGCUAAAAUGAAAAAAAAAAAAAAAAAAACUAACCAACUAAACCUUCCCUUUCCUCCCUUACCACAUUUUCACGUGCCCCCACCUAAUCCCACUUUUCCUCCCUCUUCUUCGAAUGCUAGUCUGCUUUAAGACAGGUUUGAAGUCGAAGGGAAAACAUUGAAGUGGAAGGUACAAGGGGGUCCAAGAAUUCAUAAGAUUAUUGACAAGCUAAAAGAGUAUAGUGGGGUAUUGCAUUGCGACUCUUGUUGGGAAUAUGAAGUACCGAGUUAGAACAAUGAGUGGAAGGGAGUUCGCUGUGGACUUAGCUGCAAAUAGAUGCUUUUGCAAAAAAAAGUAAAAAUAAGAAAGGGGUAUGUGUGGAAUCCCAUGUGCACAUGCAAUGACUUGUAUUCUCAGAAAGCAACAAGACCAAAAAAGGUAUUUGAAUGAUUGCUACAAGCAAGCAACAUAUAUAUCCAAGGGUCCUGUCAGAAACCCAAUGCCUACUCCUAUCAGCUGCAGGAUCAUGUGAUCCAACCCACUCCAGUUGAUCCUCCAAUGUACAAGAAGCAAAUUGGAAGACCCAAGAAAAAAAGGGUUAAGGAGCCUGGUAAAGUCCUCCCUCCAGUGGCAAGUAAUGAAAGGACAAAGCUUAGUGGAUGAGUAAACACCCCCAUUUACUUGCACCAGAUGUGGACAAAAGGGCCUAGUCAACCAAAAGCGAUGAAGCCGAAAAGGAAAGAGCAAGCAACAAGUACUUCACAAUCCACUAGUCAACCAAAGCAGAAAAAAGUUCGUUUAUUAUCUGUUUUAUUGUGCAAGUAACAAUAGUUGCAAACUUCACUAUGGGAACUACUGAUGUCACCUAUUUUUCACAUACAAUUUGGAAUUAGAUAAGAGAUUUUUUUUUUUUUUUU